UCUCAGUUGAGCUUAAAAGUGUUACUUUGAAGGGGUAAAGAUUUAUGCUGGGGA
rnacentral:tRNA from 1 species